rnacentral:rRNA from 1 species
CCUACGGGGGGCAGCAGUAGGGAAUAUUGCUCAAUGGGGGAAACCCUGAAGCAGCAACGCCGCGUGGAGGAUGAAGGUUUUCGGAUUGUAAACUCCUUUUGUUAGAGAAGAUAAUGACGGUAUCUAACGAAUAAGCACCGGCUAACUCCGUGCCAGCAGCCGCGGUAAUACGGAGGGUGCAAGCGUUACUCGGAAUCACUGGGCGUAAAGAGCGCGUCGGCGGGAUAGCAAGUCAGAUGUGAAAUCCUAUGGGUUAACCAUAGAACUGCAUUUGAAACUGUUAUUCUAGAGUAUGGGAGAGGUAGGUGGAAUUCUUGGUGUAGGGGUAAAAUCCGUAGAGAUCAAGCGGAAUACUCAUUGCGAAGGCGACCUGCUAGAACAUCACUGACGCUGAUGCGCGAAAGCGUGGGGAGCAAACAGGAUUAGAUACCCCUGUAGUC